rnacentral:tRNA from 1 species
GGUUGUGGCUUAGCGGUAGAGCAGUUGCCUAGCAUGUGUAAGGCCCUGGGUUCGAUCCUCAGCACCA